CAGAAUUGAACUUAAACUUGGACAAUGCACAUUAAUAGUACAUAAAUAUGUAAAAUGUGCCAGAUUUAGCCAACACUGGUUAAUUUUCAUCCGCAGUCCCUUUUGGCAGGUUGAUGUUAAGGACAGGGAAAAAAUAUAAACAAAGAAUAUUAAUACACCAAAUUAAGAACAAGGAGAAAAUAGUAAAGCAGAAGAAAAAAUAAACUAAGACUAUGGAAACACAAAAUUACAGACUACCAUACCGUAUCCAUAAAUCACUAUAAAUGAUCACAAUUUUGAUGGGUC